UACAGAGACGGCAAGCGUUGCUCGGAUUCAUUGGGCGUAAAGGGUGCGUAGGCGGUUGGCUAAGUCGGAUGUGAAAUCUCGUGGCCCAACCACGAGCGGUCAUUCGAAACUAGUCGGCUUGAGGGCUGGAGAGGAGACUGGAAUGGUCGGUGUAGCGGUGAAAUGCGUAGAGAUCGACCAGAACACCGGUGGCGAAGGCGGGUCUCUGGACAGUUCCUGACGCUGAGGCACGAAAGCCAGGGGAGCAAACGGG
rnacentral:rRNA from 1 species